rnacentral:rRNA from 1 species
CGCACGGGUGAGUAACACGUAUCCAACCUGCCGUCUACUCUUGGACAGCCUUCUGAAAGGAAGAUUAAUACAAGAUGGCAUCAUGAGUCCGCAUGUUCACAUGAUUAAAGGUAUUCCGGUAGACGAUGGGGAUGCGUUCCAUUAGAUAGUAGGCGGGGUAACGGCCCACCUAGUCUUCGAUGGAUAGGGGUUCUGAGAGGAAGGUCCCCCACAUUGGAACUGAGAUACGGUCCAAACUCCUACGGGAGGCAGCAUG